AACGAACGCUGGCGGCAUGCCUAACACAUGCAAGUCGAACGAGACCUUCGGGUCUAGUUGCGCACGGGUGCGUAACGCGUGGGAACCUGCCCUUAGGUUCGGAAUAACUCCCCGAAAGGGGUGCUAAUACCGGAUAAUGUCUUCGGACCAAAGAUUUAUCGCCUUUGGAUGGGCCCGCGUUGGAUUAGCUAGUUGGUAGGGUAAAAGCCUACCAAGGCGACGAUCCAUAGCUGGUCUGAGAGGAUGAUCAGCCACACUGGGACUGAGACACGGCCCAGACUCCUACGGGAGGGAGCAGUGGGGAAUAUUGGACAAGGGGCGAAAGCCUGAUCCAGCAAUGCGGCGGGAGUGAUGAAGGGCGUAGGGUUGUAAAGCUCUUUUACCCGGGAUGAUAAUGACAGUACCGGGAGAAUAAGCACCGGCUAACUCCGUG
rnacentral:rRNA from 1 species